GCCCAGAGAGUGCUAGUGUUAGAGGGUUUCCGCCCUUUAGGGCUGAAGUUAACGCAUUAAGCACUCCGCCGGGGGAGUACGGCCGCAAGGCUGAAACUCAAAGGAAUUGACGGGGGCCCGCACAAGCGGGGGAGCAUGUGGUUUAAUUCAAAGCAACGCGAAAAACCUUACCAGGCCUUGACAUCCUCUGAAAACCCUAAAAAUAGGGCUUCUCCUUCGGGAGCAGAGUGACAGGGGGUGCAUGGUUGUCGUCAGCUCGUGUCGGGAAAUGUUGGGUUAAGUCCCGCAACGAGCCCAACCCUUGAUCUUAUUUGCCAUCAUUAAUUUGGGCACUCUGAGGUAACUGCCGGUGACAAACCGGAGGA
rnacentral:rRNA from 1 species